AUUGAACGCUGGCGGCAGGCUUAACACAUGCAAGUCGAGCGGGGUGAUGGUGCUUGCACUAUCACUUAGCGGCGGACGGGUGAGUAAUGCUUAGGAAUCUGCCUAUUAGUGGGGGACAACAUCACGAAAGGGAUGCUAAUACCGCAUACGUCCUACGGGAGAAAGCAGGGGAAAACUUGUGACCUUUCGCUAAUAGAUGAGCCUAAGUCGGAUUAGCUAGUUGGUGGGGUAAAGGCCUACAAAGGCGACGAUCUGUAGCGGGUCUGAGAGGAUGAUCCGCCACACUGGGACUGAGACACGGCCCAGAAUCCUACGGGAGGCAGCAGUGGGGAAUAUUGGACAAUGGGGGGAACCCUGAUCCAGCCAUGCCGCGUGUGUGAAGAAGGCCUUAUGGUUGUAAAGCACUUUAAGCGAGGAGGAGGCUCUUUUGGUUAAUACCCAAGAUGAGUGGACGUUACUCGCAGAAUAAGCACCGGCUAACCCUGUGCCAGCCGCCGCCGUAA
rnacentral:rRNA from 1 species